rnacentral:rRNA from 1 species
GUGUCAGCAGCCGCGGUAAUACGAGAGGUCCAAACGUUAUUCGGAAUCACUGGGCUUACAGAGUUCGUAGGCGGCUCUACAAGUGAGGUGUGAAAGCCCUCGGCUCAACCGAGGAACUGCGCUUCAAACUGUAAAGCUAGAGGAAGAUAGAGGUGAGCGGAACUGAUGGUGGAGCGGUGAAAUGCGUUGAUAUCAUCAGGAACACCGGAGGCGAAGGCGGCUCACUGGGUCUUUUCUGACGCUGAGGAACGAAAGCUAGGGGAGCAAACGGGAUUAGAAACCCGCGUAGUCC